GAUAGGUUUUGAUAAAUCUCCCCCAGGGUGCUGUUGUUUUGGGGCCAGGCUGCAGGGGGUGCUGGACUUAUUAAGCUCCUUUCACUAGCUGGAGUCAAGAUGGAAAGGAGAGGAAGCAGAUCUGAGAGGAGACUGAUUACCAGAUGUCUGCCCCAACCGGGAGGAGCUGCUAUUGGAAAGUUAAGUAUCUAGAUUUAUCACUUCUGCCAUGUCAUUGUUGUAUAACACUCUAUCUUUAUACUUCAUCCAGAAGGUGUUCAUUAUAUACCUUGUCUGUUUUUGUGAUAACCGUUAUGGUCAGCCCCAUCUCUAGUACCGGCAGGUUAGAUAGUGGCUAUCUAUGCAUGACUUGUUCCAUUGCUAACUUGGGGGAGUUAUCAAUGUGGCACCAUGUGUAGAUAGCCAUAAUAACUAGUUAAACCUAAAGAAUCAGUUAGUGAAACUGUAGAUUAGUCACCUAUUGUAAUAAAUCUUUUCAAAAUGGCAAUUUGCCAUAUAAUUCUAUGGUGAAUGUCAGCCCCAUCUCUAGUACUAGCAGGUUAGAUAGUAGCUACCUAUGCAUGACUUGUUGCAUUGCUAACUUGGGGGAGUUAUCAAUGUGGCACCAUGUGUGGAUAGCCAUAAUAACUAGUUAACCCUAAAUAAUCCAGUUAUUUCUGUUAUUGUAAUAUACUAUUCAGCAUCAGUAGAACAAUAGUCAGUGCCUACUAAAUGAAGGUAGGAAUUAAUUAGGAAAGUCCUAGCUGUAAGUAUGGCUGAUACCUUGACUGAGGAUUUGCAGCCACUAUCAUUGUUUGUUUUUUUACAUGCAGCUUUUUUAUCUUUUGUUCGUCUUUGUUGUUGUUUUUCAAGUUGCUUCAUUUUCUAACAGAUUUUGUGUCUUUCCCACAAGUAUCUAGGUAGGUUUUUUUUUUUUUUUAGAAUUCUUUUCCUGUAGAGCAAGAAUAUUUGAUGCUGCCUGCUAGCCCUGGACACCAAUACCCAAGAAAGAGUGAGACGACCAUCUGCCCAGACUGGAAGGAGCUACGAUGAGAUGGUAAGGCCUAUGCCAUUGACUUGAUCUAAUAGCCUGUGUCUUUGUGCUUCAUCCAGAAGCUGUUCUAUUGUGUAAGACAACCCACACUGUCAGACCAAUAAGUUAUUAACUUUGACCUAUGUCAUAUUCUUGUUCUAGAAGUAUCUAUCAGUUUGCUUUCUCCAGGUAUUCCUUAUCUUCCCUGGCUGGAAUUGUGGACCUACACGUAAGUAAAUAAAAGCAUGUCUGUUCUUGUCAAAAUGUGUUAUAUUUAGGGGGUAAUUUGUUUAAUGACUGUCUCUUGCCUUUGCCAGUCGCCGCCUACCGUGGCAGUCUUUGCCAAAUUUGGCAAUUUACCAUAUAAUUCUAUGGUGAAUGUCAGCCACAUUCCUAGUACCUGCAGGUUAGAUAGUAGCUACCUAUGCAUGACUUGUUGCAUUGCUAACAUGGGGGAGUUAUCAAUGUGGCACCAUGUGUAGAUAGCCAUAAUAACUAGUUAACCCUCAGUUAUUUCUGUUAUUGUAACAUACUAUUCAGCAUCAGUAGAACAAUAGUCAGUGCCUAUUAAAUGAAGGUAGGAAUUAAUUAGGAAAGUCCUAGCUGUAAGUAUGGCUGAUACCUUGACUGAGGAUUUGCAGCCACUAUCAUUGUUGUUUUUUUACAUGCAGCUUUUUUAUCUUUUGUUCGUCUCUUUGUUGUUGUUUUUCAAGUUGCUUCAUUUUCUAACAGAUUUUGUGUCUUUCCCACAAGUAUCUAGGUAGGUUUUUUUUUUUUUAGAAUUCUUUUCCUGUAGAGCAAGAAUAUUUGAUGCUGCCUGCUAGCCCUGGACACUAAUACCCAAGAAAGAGUGAGACGCCCAUCUGCCCAGACUGGAAGGAGCUGCGUUAAAACGAGCAAGAAUAUUUGAUGCUGCCUGCUAGCCCUGGACACAAAUACCCAAGAAAGAGUGAGACGACCAUCUGCCCAGACUGGAAGGAGCUACGAUGAGACGGUAAGGCCUAUGCCAUUGACUUGAUCUAAUAGCCUGUGUCUUUGUGCUUCAUCCAGAAGCUGUUCUAUUGUGAAAGACAACCCACACCUGGGAGGAGCUGCUGUCAGACCAAUAAGUUACUAACUUUGACCUAUGUCAUAUUCUUGUUCUAGAGGUAUCUAUCAGUUUGCUUUCUCCAGGUAUUCCUUAUCUUCCCUGGCUGGAAUUGUGGACCUACACGUAAGUAAAUAAAAGCAUGUCUGUUCUUGUCAAAAUGUGUUAUAUUUAGGGGGUAAUUUGUUUAAUGACUGUCUCUUGCCUUUGCCAGUCGCCGCCUACCGUGGCAGUCUUUGCCAAAUUUGGCAAUUUACCAUAUAAUUCUAUGGUGAAUGUCAGCCACAUUCCUAGUACCUGCAGGUUAGAUAGUAGCUACCUAUGCAUGACUUGUUGCAUUGCUAACAUGGGGGAGUUAUCAAUGUGGCACCAUGUGUAGAUAGCCAUAAUAACUAGUUAACCCUCAGUUAUUUCUGUUAUUGUAACAUACUAUUCAGCAUCAGUAGAACAAUAGUCAGUGCCUAUUAAAUGAAGGUAGGAAUUAAUUAGGAAAGUCCUAGCUGUAAGUAUGGCUGAUACCUUGACUGAGGAUUUGCAGCCACUAUCGUUGUUUUUAACAUGCUGCUUUUUAAUCUUUUGUGUUUGUUCGGCUCUUUGUUUUUCAAGUUGCUUCAUUUUCUAACAGAUUUUGUCUUUCUCACAAGUAUCUAGGUAGUUUUUUUUUUUUUUUGUUUUUUUUUUUUUAAUUCUUUUCCUGUAGAGCAAGAAUAUUUGAUGCUGCCUGCUAGCCCUGGACACUGAUACCCAAGAAAGAGUGAGAUGAGCAUCUUACCAGACUGGAAGGAGCUACGAUGAGACGUUUGCUUUCUCCAGGUGUUGCUUAUCUUCCCUGGCUGGAAUUGUGGACCUACACGUAAGUAAUUGAAAUCAUGUCUGUUUUUUCAAAAUGUGUUCUAUUUAGGGGGUAACUUGUUUAAUUGCAUAAUUAAAUGACUUUCUGUCUCUUGCCUUUGCCAGUUGCUGCCUACCGUGGCAGUCUUUAUCAAAUUUGGCAAUUUACCAUAUAAUUCUAUGGUGAAUGUCAGCCCCAUUCCUAGUACCAGCUGGUUAGGUAGUAGCUACCUAUGCAUGACUUGUUGCAUUGCUAACUUGGGGGAGUUAUCAAUGUGGCACCAUGUGUCGAUAGCCUUAGUAACUAGUUAAACUUAAAGAAACAGUUAUUUCUGUUAUCGUCAUAUACUAUUCAGCAUCAGUAGAACAAAUAGUCAGUGCCUACUAAAUGAAGGUAAGAAUGUAUUAGGAAAGUCCUAGCUGUAAGUAUGGCUGAUACCUCGACUGAGGAUUUGCAGCCACUAUCAUUGUUGUUUUUAACAUGCAGCUUUUUUAUCUUUUGUGUUUGUUCUGCUCUUCAUUAUUGCUUCAUUUUCUAACAGCUUUUGUCUUUCUCACAAGUAUCUAGGUAGGUUUUUUUUAGAAUUCUUUUCCUGUAGAGCAAGAAUAUUUGAUGCUGUCUGCUAGCCCUGGACACUGAUACCCAAGAAAGAGUGAGAUGAGCAUCUUACCAGACUGGAAGGAGCUACGAUGAGACGAAGUAUCUAUCAGUUUGCUUUCUCCAGGUGUUACUUAUCUUCCCUGGCUGGAAUUAUGGACCUACACAUUUGGCAAGUUCAUUCUACUACAUGGUGUAGUAGUAGACCAUGGCAAGAACCUUAAACUUACUACCUUACCAGUCAUUGAAUCUACAUAAGACAAGACAAGACAUGACAUGACAUCUAGCAAAAAUAGUAUGGUAUGAGUUUAUUCUACUACCCGGUAUAGAAGACCAUGUAAUGAACAUUCAACAACUUCCUACCUUACCAUACUCAGCUCCAGACAUGCUAUUAGCAGAAGUCUUGACAUCUUGCCAAAAUCAUAUGAUCCUCACUUCUGCACUUUGUUCUGUGAAGUAAUCAACAGUUUCCACUAUGAAAAUCUCUGGCAACAUGAAAACCUGCCCGGGCUCCAUUGUCCCAGUUACAAAAGUUUAAACAUUUUUAUUUUUUUUCUUACAUAAAAUAUACAUGUCUUCUACUAAAUGUGUUUUUUUUUUUUUUAACUUAU